GAUGACUACAUGGCUUGAUUUUUUAGCAUUACGGUGCGAGUCAUUGGACAGUCUCGGUAUGCAGUUCUUGGAUACGAGGGCGAGAGUUCUACUGUGCGUCUUUUGGUAAGAUUACGAAAAUUACUUUAUGUUAUUUGUGUUAUAUUUUUAUUUUAUAUUUUACACUAUACUGACUAUUUUAUUUUUAUUUUGUAGACUGAUUCUAUGUCGGAUCUCGUGUUGGACGCUCGUCGUGCUUUAUCUACGAUCGAUGAGGACGAACAGAUUCGGAUACUGCGGG
rnacentral:lncRNA from 1 species